rnacentral:rRNA from 1 species
GAUGAACGCUAGCGAUAGGCUUAACACAUGCAAGUCGAGGGGCAGCAUGGUCUUAGCUUGCUAAGACUGAUGGCGACCGGCGCACGGGUGCGUAACGCGUAUGCAACUUGCCUCACAGAGGGGGAUAACCCGUCGAAAGACGGACUAAUACCGCGUACACUCCAUCUUGGGCAUCCAAGGUAGAGGAAAUGAAAUUCGCUGUGAGAUAGGCAUGCGUCCCAUUAGCUAGUUGGUGAGGUAACGGCUCACCAAGGCGACGAUGGGUAGGGGAACUGAGAGGUUGAACCCCCACACUGGUACUGAGACACGGACCAGACUCCUACGGGAGGCAGCAGUGAGGAAUAUUGGUCAAUGGGCGAGAGCCUGAACCAGCCAAGUCGCGUGAAGGAUGACUGUCUUAUGGAUUGUAAACUUCUUUUACACGGGAAUAACAAGAGUCACGUGUGACUCCCUGCAUGUACCGUAUGAAUAAGCAUCGGCUAACUCCGUG